ACGUAAAUUUUUAAAAAUAAAUAUUUAAUUAAAUUUUAAUAUAAUUAAAACCUUACCGAAAGGUAAAACUUUUAUAAAAAAGAAUUUCUUUUUUCCUUUAGUAUCAGGAAUAAACUAAUUUUAAAUAUAUAAAUUUUUUCUCGAAAAGAAAUGAUCUAUUAUUUUUAACAAUGUUUUUUUCAUAAAACUAAUAUAAUUAAUAAUAGUUACUAAACAUAUACGAAUUUCUUAAUAUCUAGUUUUCUAAAAUUAUAAAAUAUAAUAACAUAUAGUAAAAUAAAUUACUAUAACAAUUUUACAAUAUUAUAUAUUCAACAGAACCAAUAGUAUUCAAACUGUUUAACAACUAUAUUAUUUCAUAUAUUAAUAUUAAUAUUAGAAUCUAUUUAUAUCUAAAUAAUAAUGUUUAUAUAAAUAAAUAAUCAAUUUAAUUAAAUUAACUCGUCUACAAUUGAAUGACUGUUUAUCAAAAACAUCUCUAAUAGAUAUAAUUAUUAGUAAUAUCUGCUCAAUGAAAAUUAAAUAGCCGCAGAAUCUGUGCUAAGGUAGCAUAAUCAUUUGUCUUUUAAAUAAAGACUAGAAUAAAAGAUUUAACAUUUCAACUAAUUUAUCUAAUUUUACAUUUUAAAUUAUUUUAAGUGUAAAAAAACACUUAUUAAGUAGAAAGACAAUAAGACCCCUUUGAAUUUUAUUAAUAUUUAACUGGGGCAGUUAAAAAAUUAAAAUUUUAAUUUAAAUUAUAAAAAAUUGAUCUAUAUCAAUUAAAAAGAUCAAAUUACCAUGGGGAUAACAGCAUAAUAAAUUUCUAAAGAUCAUAUAAAAAAAUUAGAUUAUGACCUCGAUGUUGAAUUAAUAACCUUAAUUAAGCAAAAGUAUUAAAAGGAAGUCUGUUCGACUUUUUAAAAAUUACAUGAUUUGAGUUCAGACCGGUGUAAACCAGGUCGGUUUAUAUCUUCUAUAAUUUUUCUUACAGUACGAAAGGACCCAAGAAGCUAAUAUAAUU
rnacentral:rRNA from 1 species